AUGUCAAUCACUUGGGGUUCUCGUUAAAAUGCAGGUUCCGAGUCAGUAGUUCCCCAGAAGGUAUUGAGAUUAUGCAUUUCUAACAAGCUUCCUGGUGAUGCCCAG
rnacentral:miRNA from 1 species